CGCCGCCGCCGCUGCACUCACGGCGGGUGCCCGCGCCUCAGAGUUACCAAUUGAUUCUUGCGACUCCUCUACUCUCGUCAUCUGACCUCAUGGAUGAACUUCAGGAUGUUCAGCUCACAGAGAUCAAACCAUUUCUAAAUGACAAGAAUGGUACACGAAACUUCCAGGACUUUGACUGUCAGGAACAUGACAUAGAAACAACUCAUGGUGUGGUCCACGUCACUAUAAGAGGCUUUACCCAAAGGAAACAGACCAGUUAUACUAACGUAUCACGACAUUGGCCUCAACCACAAAUCCUGUUUCAAUGCAUUCUUUAACUUUGAGGAUAUGCACGAGAUCACCCAGCACUUUGCUGUCUGUCAUGUGGAUGCCCCAGGCUAGCAGGAAGGUGCACCCUCUUUCCCAACAGGGGAUCAGUACCCCACAAUGGAUGAGCUGGCCGAAAUGCUGCCUCCUGUUCUUACCCACCUAAGCCUGAAAAGCAUCAUUGGUAUUGGAGUUGGAGCUGGAGCUUACAUCCUCAGCAGAUUCGCACUCAACCAUCCAGAGCUUGUGGAAGGCCUUGUGCUCAUUCAUGUUGACCCUUGCGCAAAAGGCUGGAUUGACUGGGCAGCUUCCAAACUCUCUGGCCUGACAACCCAUGUUGUGGACAUUAUUUUGGCUCAUCACUUCGGGCCGGAAGAGUUACAGGCCAACCUGGACCUGAUCCAAGCCUACAGAAUGCAUCUUGCCGAAGACAUUAACCAAGACAACCUGCAGCUCUUCUUGAAUUCCUACAAUGGAUGCAGAGACCUGGAGAUCAAAAGACCCAUACUGGGCCAAAAUGAUAACAAAUCAAAAACAUUAAAGUGUUCUCCUUUACUGGUGGUAGGGGACAAUUCGCCUGCAGUUGAGGCUGUGGUCGAAUGCAAUUCCCGCCUGAACCCUGUAAAUACAACUUUGCUAAAGAUGGCAGACUGUGGGGGACUGCCCCAGGUAGUUCAGCCUGGGAAGCUCACCGAGGCCUUCAAGUACUUUUGCAGGGAACGGGCUUCAUACCAUCUGCCAGUGUGACUCGGCUCGCCCGAUCACGAACCCACUCAACCUCAAGUAGCCUCGGCUCUGGAGAAAGUCCCUUCAGCUGGUCUGUCACCAGCAGUCAGUCAGACGGAACUCAAGAAUCCUGUGAGUCCCCUGAUGUCCUGGACAGACACCAGACCAUGGAGGUGUCCUGCUAAGCAGAUGCUCCUCCCCUGGACCAUUGCAAGUCCAUCCUUCUUCAAAUGACCACUCCAUAAUAUAACAUUUCAUCCAUGUAAACUGGCCUCUACUAUCUUUAACUCAUGCAUGGCCACUGAACCUCUCUGUAGUAGCCUGGAUUUAUCAUUCUCUCUGCCUGCCCACCCCCUUUUUUGUAUGGCCCAAGAACCACUUCCAUGCCAUACUGUAACAUUCCAACAUCUUUAGCCGAUCAGAUCUCUCCAUCUCUUCUCUUGCCAGCUUUUUCCCAUGCUCCCCCAACUAUGUAUCGGAUGAGAUUCUUUGAUCCCAACUCUGUGUGUGUGCAAGCACGUGUGUCUCUGUUUGUGUGUGCAUAGUUCUGUGGUUUUAGACACGCUUUCUUGUAGUGCUUCUGCAAAAAAACAAAAAAGGGACUUAUUUUGCAUUCUCAAUGGUGUUUUUAAGGGAAUUAGGCAGAAUAGAUUUCUAGGUUGGGUAGGCCACUGCGUUCUCUUUUGUUUGCAAAUUGGUCAACAAAAUUUGCAGAGUGAUUUCAGGAGAGAGCAGCUCUGAGGAAUGUGGAAAAUCAUAAUUGCCAUCUGGACCAUUGAUUGAUUGUGAGCAAUAGUAGAAGGGUGCCUAUUACAUAGAGAGACUCCUUCUGUCCAAAUGAAUUUCUGUAUACUCUUCUAUAAAUAAAAGGGAGGAAUAUAUUCUGCUGGAAGCCCAUGAACCAUUGGUGAGGUUCCGAUACAACAUAGAGUUUUUUCCAAGGAGUGAAUGUGGCUUAAUUACUGGACUCUCUUAGCACAGGAAGGUGGAAACAAAAUGCCAGGCCUCUGCUCUGAAAAGCAAAACUGCUGUCGCUGCAGUAUCUUAUACUGGACAUCCACAUAUCCACAAGAAGUGCCUCUUAGGUCUAUGACGGAGAGUGUCUCCAUUCCUCAGUUCCCAGAGAGCGGAGAGGUAUGGCCUAAAAAGGAUGUAGAUGAUGGUGGAGAAAUGGGUGGGGGAAGAGGGACAGUCAUUAACAUAGUAUCAUGUUUAACAAGUAUGGCCUUGAUUUCAGUAGAUGUAAUGGAAGCCAAAUUAAAUUGAUACAGAACCCAUUUCUCAGAGUCUUUUUUUUUUUUUGAGACAGCGUCUCGUUCUGUCACCCAGGCUGGAGUGCAAUGGCGCAAACUUGGCUCACCCUCUGCCCCCUGGGUUCAAGCGAUUCUCCUGCUUCAGCCUCCCGAGUAGCUAGGACUACAGGCACCUGCCACCACGUCCAGCUAAGUUACGUAUUUUUAGUAGAGAUGGAGUUUCACCAUGUUGGCCAGGCUGGUCUCAAACUCCUGACCUCAGGUGAUCUGCCCGCCUCAACCUCCCAAAGUGCUGGGAUUACAGGCAUGAGUCAUUUUGCCCAGCCAUCAAAAAGAUUGUUAAUCCUAUGAACUCCCUUUUGCAGGAGGGAAAGGGCCACUCUGUAGGGGCAGCCCUGUCCAGGUAAAGUUGUUUUCAGCCUCCUGUCUACUGUUAAGUGAGGGAGUCACAGCAAGACAGAGAGUAUUGCUGGAGGGUGAGAGAACUGUGGAGACCAACUUCCACAUAACAAGAGCCCAGCUCUUGGGAGCACUGAGAUGUAAGCUCAGGGUUACACAGUUCCAAAUCUUGGGAAGGGGCUUUUCAGACACACAGUUUGCUUUCUGCUGAGAUAAGGAAUGCAUCACUCUGCCAGAGUAUGACUUUUUACAGAUUAUUAAAUAAAGCUGUAUAUGUCUCAUUGUUAAA